AUACGGAGGAUGCAAGCGUUAUCCGGAUUUAUUGGGUUUAAAGGGUGCGCAGGCGGAAAAUUAAGUCAGUGGUGAAAUCCUACAGCUUAACUGUAGAACUGCCAUUGAUACUGAUUUUCUUGAGUGCAGUUGAGGUAGGCGGAAUGUGUAAUGUAGCGGUGAAAUGCUUAGAUAUUACACAGAACACCGAUUGCGUAGGCAGCUUACUAAACUGUUACUGACGCUCAGGCACGAAAGCGUGGGGAGCGAACAGGAUUAGAUACCCUAGUAGUCC
rnacentral:rRNA from 1 species